GACGUAGGGGGCCAGCGUUGCUCGGAAUUACUGGGUGUAAAGGGUUCGUAGGCGGACAUUUAAGUCAGGGGUGAAAUCCCAGAGCUCAACUCUGGAACUGCCUUUGAUACUGGAUGUCUUGAGUGUGAGAGAGGUAUGUGGAACUCCGAGUGUAGAGGUGAAAUUCGUAGAUAUUCGGAAGAACACCAGUGGCGAAGGCGACAUACUGGCUCAUUACUGAACGCUGGAGGC
rnacentral:rRNA from 1 species